GCCAAGGGAUGGCCCCCGCCACCCUUGAUGCAGCACAGUGUCGACACUAACCAUUUACCACUGUACCAUAUACAUAUGUACAUAUUGUUUUUAUGCAGCUUCCUUAUUUUACUAUCGAUACUCCCAGAAAAUCUUCCUCUGGGUCUGAACAUCCUUCAACUACAAAAACAACCUCCGACAUCUCAAACAUUUUACUUCAGACUAAUAUUGACUAGAAGAUCGAUGUAGUACGGCUUGGGCCGCUUGUUGGGCAGAUAACAAGUUAUUAAUUGAUACAUUAUUACAAGUUAUGAAUAAUAAACCUCAAAAUCUUUCGUCACUAAUAAGUAUUUCUUGUAGGGCGAGACAAGUGUCGGUUUGCCGACAGGGUCCCGCACAGUCCUACUAUUAUAGAAGUUAAUUGUACUCUUAACCAUUGUAGCAGUACUAUCGGCUAGUAACCACACAUAUUAUUGGUUCUUAAGAUCACUUUAAUUGGUUCAAAUAAAUUAGUUCUUCACCCCACUCUUGUGUACUCUCAGUACCAACAGAAAUGUAAAUAUACUCUCGUUGCAGAGAGCGCAUAGAAUAAAAAAGAGGAAAAUAAAAUUGAGAGCAAGAUCAGUUUUGGAUAGAGCGCUUACAAUAUUCUAAAAUAAAAUUUAAAUAACUAGUUUUUCAAAACUAUCAAAUCAAGUAGCUCUUGUUUAAUCUGUUACAAAAUACUAGUGUCAGAAGUUCAGUUAUUCAGUAUUCAAAACUAUCACCCAAAGGCAGAUAUACCCACAUAAUUGAAAAUGAAAAAUCCACUGUAUUUCCUUUUCUGGCUAAUUGUCUUGCUCUGGCUGUCGUUCUUUGUGGCCUUUUUCGGGGCCUUCUUCUAUAUCUGGACUUAUAUGUUCUCUCAAUGCAGUGACUGCUGCGAAGGUAUUGCUACAUUUUUCCUGAAGUGCGUUCAGUUUCCCGGAUACUGUGCUGCAGGUAUGAUGCAGUGCAAGAAACCGUGCUAGAAACCGACGAAGAUGCCAAGGGAUGGCCCAAGCCACCCUUGAUGCAGCACAGUGUCGACACUAACCAUUUACCACUGUACCAUAUGCAUAUGUACAUAUUGUUUUUAUGCAGCUUCCUUAUUUUACUAUCGAUACUCCCAGAAAAUCUUCCUCUGGGUCUGAACAUCCUUCAACUGCAAAAACAACCUCCGACAUCUCAAACAUUUUACUUCAGACUAAUAUUGACUAGAAGAUCGGUGUAGUACGGCUUGGGCCGCUUGUUGAGCAGAUAACAAGUUAUUAAUUGAUACAUUAUUACAAGUUUUGAAUAAUAAACCUCAAAAUCUUUCGUCACUAA
rnacentral:sRNA from 1 species